rnacentral:misc_RNA from 1 species
UGAGAGUGGAGCCUAAUGCCCUGGGG